ACAUGCAGUCGAGGGGCAGCGGGGAGUAGCAAUACUUCGCCGGCGACCGGCGCACGGGUGAGUAACACGUGUGCAACCAACCCCGUACCGGGAGAUAACCCGCGGAAACGUGGACUAACAUCCCAUAACACUGGAGGAUCGCAUGAUCUUUCAUUUAAAAUUCCGGUGGUACGGGACGGGCACGCGCGACAUUAGGUAGUUGGCGGGGUAACGGCCCACCAAGCCGACGAUGUCUAGGGGUUCUGAGAGGAAGGUCCCCCACACUGGAACUGAGACACGGUCCAGACUCCUACGGGAGGCAGCAGUGAGGAAUAUUGGUCAAUGGGCGAGAGCCUGAACCAGCCAAGUCGCGUGAGGGAAGAAUGGUCUAUGGCCUGUAAACCUCUUUUGCCAGGGAAGAAUAAAUUGCACGCGUGCGAUCUUGCCAGUACCUGACGAAUAAGCAUCGGCUAACUCCGUGCCAGCAGCCGCGGUAAUACGGGGGAUGCGAGCGUUAUCCGGAUUUAUUGGGUUUAAAGGGCGCGUAGGCGGGACGCCAAGUCAGCGGUAAAAGACUGCAGCUAAACUGUAGCACGCCGUUGAAACUGGCGACCUGGAGACGAGACGAGGGAGGCGGAACAAGUGAAGUAGCGGUGAAAUGCUUAGAUAUCACUUGGAACCCCGAUAGCGAAGGCAGCUUCCCAGGCUCGAUCUGACGCUGAUGCGCGAGAGCGUGGGUAGCGAACAGGAUUAGAUACCCUGGUAGUCCACGCCGUAAACGAUGCUCACUGGAUCUUGGCGAUACACCGCCAGGGUUCAAGCGAAAGUAUUAAGUGAGCCACCUGGGGAGUACGUCGGCAACGAUGAAACUCAAAGGAAUUGACGGGGGCCCGCACAAGCGGAGGAACAUGUGGUUUAAUUCGAUGAUACGCGAGGAACCUUACCCGGGUUUAAAUGUAUUUUGCAUGAG
rnacentral:rRNA from 1 species